rnacentral:rRNA from 1 species
UACGGAGGAUGCAAGCGUUAUCCGGAAUGAUUGGGCGUAAAGGGUCCGCAGGUGGCAGUGUAAGUCUGCUGUCAAAGAAUGAGGCUUAACCUCAUCAAGGCAGUGGAAACUACACAGCUAGAGUACGGUCGGGGUAGAAGGAAUUCCUGGUGUAGCGGUGAAAUGCGUAGAGAUCAGGAAGAACACCGGUGGCGAAAGCGUUCUGCUAGGCCUGUACUGACACUGAGGGACGAAAGCUAGGGGAGCGAAUGGG